rnacentral:misc_RNA from 1 species
AUCCCCCGUCUUUGUGCGGCCGACUAUUGGCGCCGGUUCCCGUCGGUUCUGUGGGUUAUGUUGCCUUCGGUUGCUUUUAAGGGUUUCGUGUGUUCACACCCGAACUUCGGGUAGUGGUGCUUUAUAUUCGGUUGCCUUGCGGUAGCCGCCUUCGGGUGUGCUGCUGUGGCCAAAUGGCGCUUGUGGCGUUUCCUCGUUGUGCCGGCAUGUUUACUCUGACGGUGCAAUCAAGGAAGCCUCGCUCCCGCUGUUGGUCUAGGAUGUUGCCUACGUUAAAGUCUCUUGGCCCAUUGAAGUUGCCUUGACCCGACCCUAAGAAGCUCUCCGAACUGAGAACAACCGGAAUAGGUGUUGCCUCUACCUCUCCACGGUUAGUGGUAGGAUUACGCAACAUUCUGCGCCGAUCCUCAAACAAGUAGGAACGAGCUUGGCCCAACUCAAUUGCGACAACCGGUCCGGAUGUUGCCUCUGCCUUGACACGCAAGUGGAUGGAUGGACAACUUCCGACGC